UCUCCUUCAACUUCCCAUAAUUCUCCUCAAUCCCGCAUCAGUCGCAUAGUUAGUUAUUGUUACCUUCAAUGCUCUGGUGUUGAGACUUACAAUGAAAUCCUCAGGCACCACAUGAGUAAUAGUGAAGUUAGCAUUAAUUCUGAGUUGAUUAAAAUGGUGGCUCACUCAUCUCAAUUUUGGGAACAUUGUUGUUAGAGAAGAGGAACAAGAAGAGCUUGAGACUUUGCUGAGAGUAUCAUGUCCUUUGGAAGUGAAGGGGGAGCUACUGACAAACAUCGGGUGUGCCUUGAAUUAUUAGAUCAUUUGCCAAGAAGAAACUAAGAACUAUUCAAUGGGAUAUGAAACGAUGAUCCUUUUGUUGCAGAAAUGCCUCUUCUGUGACUUGGUUUUUGCAGAGGUUGUGACCAAUUCAUGUCAAAUGAAAGUAAGAUUUUUGAAUGUCUUGUUAAAGCAAUAAUUUCUUAUUGAAUGUUUGUAAACAAUGUUAGGAAGCAAUUUUUUUUUUAAUGUUUGUAAACAUUGUUUGAGAACAACCCUUGGUUUCAUUUCAUAUGUUCUUG